rnacentral:rRNA from 1 species
UUAUUAAUAUCCCCAAAAGCAUUUAAUAUUUAAUUAAACAAACCAUUUUCCCCCCUAAGUAUGGGCGACAGAAAAGAAACAUUCAGAGCCAUAGAAAAAGUACCGCAAGGGAAUGCUGAAAAAGAAAUGAAACAACCCAGUAAAGUUCAAAAAAGCAGAGACUUACACUCGUACCUUUUGCAUCAUGAUUUAGUCAGUACAAACAAGCAAAAUGUACUUUAGUUUGUCUCCCCGAAACUAAGUGAGCUACUCCAAGACAGCCUAAAAUAGGGCUAACCCGUCUCUGUGGCAAAAGAGUGGGGUGAGCUUAGAGUAGAGGUGAUAAACCUACCGAACUUAGUUAUAGCUGGUUGCCUGAGAAAUGAAUAGAAGUUCAGCUUUUUGGUUUCUCCCCCCAACUCGCUUAACUACAACCGAGCCAAAGAAACCAAAAAAGUUAGUUAAAGGGGGUACAGCUCCUUUAAACAAGAUACAACUUCACCAGCCGGGUAAAGAUCACACAUAAUCAAGGUAAAAUAUUUUAGUGGGCCUAAAAGCAGCCACCUAUAAAAAGCGUCAAAGCUUAUUCAUACCACCACCCUCAAAUUCAGAUAAUACACCCUAAACCCACUAAUUUUACCAAGCCGCCCCAUGCUGUCAUGGGGGUGAUUAUGCUAAAAUGAGUAAUAAGAAAAAUCACUUUUUCUCCUUGCAUUCGUGUAAAUCGAAACGGACCUCCCAUCGAACAUUAAUCGGCCCCAAAAAAAGAGGGCAAUGAACUAUCAACCCCAUACAAGAAAAACACCCAAAUAUCAACCGUUAACCUCACACUAACAUGCUUACAAGGAAAGACUAAAAGAAAAAGAAGGAACUCGGCAAAUACAAGCCUCGCCUGUUUACCAAAAACAUCGCCUCUUGAAAACUAAACAUAAGAGGUCC